UACCAGCACCCCGAGUGGUCGGGACGUUUAUUGGGCCUAAAGCACCCGUAGCCGGUUCUACAAGUCUUCCGUUAAAUCCACCUGCUUAACAGAUGGGCUGCGGAAGAUACUAUGGAGCUAGGAGGCGGGAGAGGCAAGCGGUACUCGAUGGGUAGGGGUAAAAUCCGUUGAUCCAUUGAAGACCACCAGUGGCGAAGGCGGCUUGCCAGAACGCGCUCGACGGUGAGGGAUGAAAGCUGGGGGAGCAAACCGG
rnacentral:rRNA from 1 species